rnacentral:lncRNA from 1 species
CGAAAACAAAACGCCGAAUAUGGUUGCUGCUACCACUAAGAUAUUAUAAACUGUCCGUUUAAAUAAAGAUGUCCACGAUUGCGGUCGAAAACAUCCAGAUAUUAUAACUAUUGUAUAGGUCAAUUUCAGAAUAUGCAUUAUAUCAAGACUAAUUUAAUUGUGUAAAAAAAAGAAGAAAACGAAGGUAAAAUAUGUAAGAGAAGUUAGUUAUGCGAUUCAAUUUAUUAACUUUGUUAAUAAUUAUAAAGAUCUUUGAUCAGCAAUACUCAUUGCUUUCAAGAUAAUUUAAACCUAAAGUAUCUUUUUUACGUAUGUGUACGUAUAUGUACAAAAAAUAUGAUGAGAAAAUAUAAUUUCAAAAGCGUAUACUGUAGAAUGUCUAUCGACAUACUAACUUAUGUACUAACGGUACUUCUUAAUAGUAACAUUGAUAAUAUUUAAUUACUGUAUCAAGAUAGAGAACAAAAUAACAUACCAGAAAAAAUUGUCUAUACAGAUUAUUGAAUAAAGUAUAAGAUGUAGACGACAAUAUCUUGAUAUACGUCUCUCACAUUGAUACGCAACAUUUCAUUAUAUUAUUUUUUAUUCUUACGAGAAGAGAGUUCGAGACGUUCUAAUAUUGAUUUCUACGCGCAACAUAUAAUCAGGAGACGAGAUUAUGUUAAAAGUAUGCAUUUAUAAGACUAUAGUCACAUACAAUCUUAAUUGUAUAAAAUAAAAGAUUUAUUAUUUUUAUUGUUAUAUCAGGAUGGAGAAUAAAAUGACGUAUUGUAUUGAAAAGAGUGGGUUUCAGUUGCCUACAUUCCCAGUUGCCUACAGCUUCGUUUGCACACAAAUUUUGCAAAGGUGCCCGAUUGCUUACGUGCCCGAUUGCCUACAUCUCGAUUGCCUACAGCUUCGUUUGCUCACACGAAAAUAAUUAAGGUACAAAAAUACGAUUUCACACAUGAUAUUAUUUCGCUUAUACACAUUGCACACAUUACAUUAUUACAUUUAUACACAUUGCACACAUGAUAUUAUUACGCUUAUACACAUUGCACACAUGAUAUUAUUGCGCUCAUACAUUCUGGAGGCACAAUUCCAAUAACUUGGGCGCCUUAAUUUGACGAUGAUUUCUGAUAAUAUUUUUUAUGUUAAACAAAAAAUUGUAUAGAUCUUAUAGGGCUAACUGUUAGUUUAGUUUUUGAGAUACACCAUUUUAAAAAUAAAAGUAAAAGUAGAUUAAAAAUAAGAAGAAAAGUAGGUAGACCUCGCUUUGCAUGGAAAGUUGCAAACUCAUGUGGAACAGUAUGAAGCGUGGACACUUCUUUGCUGUGACCACACACACACGCACGCACACACACACACACACAUACGGUCCAAGGGGGGGCCUUUGCCCCCUUCUUUCGUGCCCCACCCCGUCGGUAGAGGUGCCCUGGAAAGUUACAAACCCAUAUGGCAUAGUACAAGCGUGGACGUCGUUUCAAUCAGAUUACUGUUUUAGUUAAUGUUAAGAUAAAUUUAUAGAAUUUGAUUGGUGAUGUCCGUUUUACACUGUGCGCAUCUGGGAUUUACUCCCUUGCUCUUGCUUACAGAGUGUAUGAGCGCAAUGAUAUCACGUAUGCAAUGUGCAUAUGCGCAAUAAUGUCAUAAGUGCAAUGUGUAUUGUGCAAUAAUGUCAUGUGUGCAAUGUAUGUAUAUAAACGUAUUAAUAUCAUGUGUGCAAUGUGCAUAUGCGCAAUAAUGUCAUGUGUACAAUGUGUAUGAGCGUAAUAAUAUCAUAUGUGCAAUGUGUAUGAGAAAAAUAAUAUCAUGUGUGCAAUCGUACUUUUGUACAUUAAUUAUUUUCGUGUGUGCAAACGAAGCUGUAGGUAGUCGAGAUGUGGGCAAUCGGGCACGUAGGCAAUCGGGGCACCUCUGAAAAAUUUGUGUGCAAACGAAGCUGUAGGCAACUGGAAAUGUAGGCAAAUGAGACCCCCAGAAAAAAUUCAGAAAAAGUCAGAGUUGAAAGAAGUAAAUAACAAAACAAUAUACCGGACUAUUAAUACGACACGUUUAUUAUGCAAAUACUAUACAGAAAAGAAUCUUGAAUAUAAUGGCGAUUUGUGAGAUAAAAAUAAAAGCAUCGUAGAUUAAAUGAAAGACUGGAGGCGCCAUAACGCUGUUUUUACGUACCAUUGCCAAAUGAUGCGAUAUUCCAAGAUCUCAAUUUGACAACAUAUGUGCAUUAAGAAUCCACACAUAAGAUUAUCUGUUGCAAUGGUUACAACAACACUAUGACAUGCACCUAACAUUUGUUGAAAAUUCACCCACAGAUUCAAUAUUUUGUAGCACGCAGCGAACAUAGUUAAACAUGAUGUAUCCAAUGUCGGUGAAGUCAUCCAGAUUAUCAACGUUCAAGAAAAGGUUGAAUUGCCGGUAGGAAUGUUUUCAAAUGUAAACUUUAUGCGACAAUAAAAUGAAAAAUUGAAAUAUUGAAAUAAAUAAUGAAUGUGUGAGGACUCCGUUGUUCGUUUAUAGACUGCCAUCGAUAAUUUUUUUCCUAUGCAAUUUUAAUGAAGAUAAACAACUAACUCCAAUAUACUGAUGUGAUGACGUAUACAAUCGCAAAGAGUAUCAUAAUUGUUCGAUAUUUUGCUUAGUCGGCAUUCUAAAAUCUCGAUCUGACAGCAAACGUGCACCAACAGUCCGCAAAUCAGACUGUCACAAGCCACAUUGACCAGCGAUCCAAUCGCCAGGCUAAUAAGUUGAUGAGCAUACAUUGAAUGUUUAAAUUACAUGUGCGAAGUAUUUUAUAGAAGAAAGAAUAAACAAGAAAGAAGAAUAUAAUAUAUAGACACAAAACAGAUGUUAAAAGUAGAAUAAUAAGUAAAACAUACAAUAAGAUAAGUGACGCAUUUUGAUAAUUUUUUAAAAUUCUUUUAUAACAAUACAUUAUUACUUAAAAAUAAUAAUUAAAAAAUUACUAAUUAUUUAUACUAAUUGUAAAUGUGUAUUUCUUUUGUUACAUAUGCAUUGCCUCCUGUCUCCCCACUUUGUACAGCAACUUCAUAAAAGAAAAUAAGAUUUAAACAAAACAAAAUUUUAAUUUUUUUCAAAAUUUUUUUUCUAAAAAAAGUAAUUAUAAUAACAUUUUGAUUCGUUAAAGAAAAAAACUGACAUUAGAUUUGGAAAAAAACAGACUUAAAAGCUACAGGAUACCGUCAUUUCAAAAUUAAAAAUUAUUUAUCCAAAAAUUUAAAAUUAAUUGUGACCUACGUGGGCAUAAACGUGUUAAGAUACUAAUAUGGUUCUGUGAUUGGUUGAUGGCAUCUUAAAACAGUACUUGCAAUAAUCUUAAAAAUAAGAUUUUACUGCGAAUACCAAUCUAACUUAUUAUUUCUAUUACUUCAGUAUAACAGUGCAACAAAAAAAAAAGAAACAAAUCUUAUGAUGCAUUGCAUUUCAUGAUCCGAUAGUGCACCGUUUAUUUAUAAAAUACGUCACCGACGAGAUAUAUGUGUGUGAUAUUAAUAUUUAAGUAUAUUUAUCAUAAAAAUAUUUAAAGUAUGAACAUAUUUAUUGUUGUUAUUAAAUGUUAAUUAAAACAAA